GUAGUCCACGCCGUAAACGAUGAUAACUCGCUGUUGGCGAUACACAGUCAGCGGCUUAGCGAAAGCGUUAAGUUAUCCACCUGGGGAGUACGCUCGCAAGAGUGAAACUCAAAGGAAUUGACGGGGGCCCGCACAAGCGGAGGAACAUGUGGUUUAAUUCGAUGAUACGCGAGGAACCUUACCUGGGCUUAAAUGUGCUAUGACCGCUGGAGAAAUUCGGCUUCCCGCAAGGGCAGAGUACAAAGUGCUGCAUGGUUGUCGUCAGCUCGUGCCGUGAGGUGUCGGGUUAAGUCCCAUAACGAGCGCAACCCUUAUUGUCAGUUGCUAACAGGUGAUGCUGAGGACUCUGGCGAGACUGCCACCGUAAGGUGUGAGGAAGGUGGGGAUGACGUCAAAUCAGCACGGCCCUUAUGUCCAGGGCUACACACGUGUUACAAUGGCCGAUACAAAGGGCAGCUACCGGGUGACCGGAUGCUAAUCUCUAAAGUCGGUCUCAGUUCGGAUCGAAGUCUGCAACCCGACUUCGUGAAGCUGGAUUCGCUAGUAAUCGCGCAUCAGCCAUGGCGCGGUGAAUACGUUCCCGGGCCUUGUACACACCGCCCGUCAAACCAUGGGAGUUGGGGGUACCUGAAGUAUGUGACCGCGAGGAGCGUCCUAGGGUAAAACCAAUGACUGGGGUUAAGUCGUAACAAGGUAACCGUAAAUCGAUUCCCGCGGCCGCCAUGGCGGCCGGGAGCAUGCGACGUCGGCCCAUCG
rnacentral:rRNA from 1 species